rnacentral:rRNA from 1 species
AGUACCGCAUGAUACAGUGAUCAAAGGAGCAAUCCGCUGAAAGAUGGGCUCGCGUCCGAUUAGAUAGUUGGUGAGGUAACGGCUCACCAAGUCGACGAUCGGUAGCCGGACUGAGAGGUUGAACGGCCACAUUGGGACUGAGACACGGCCCAGACUCCUACGGGAGGCAGCAGUGGGGAAUAUUGCACAAUGGGCGAAAGCCUGAUGCAGCAACGCCGCGUGAGGGAAGACGGUUUUCGGAUUGUAAACCUCUGUUUUCGGUGACGAAUAAAUGACGGUAACCGAGUAGGAAGCCACGGCUAACUACGUGCCAGCAGCCGCGGUAAUACGUAGGUGGCAAGCGUUAUCCGGAAUUACUGGGUGUAAAGGGAGCGCAGGCGGGAUAGCAAGUCAGUUGUGAAAACUAUGGGCUCAACCCAUAGAUUGCAGUUGAAACUGUUAUUCUUGAGUGGAGUAGAGGCAAGCGGAAUUCCGAGUGUAGCGGUGAAAUGCGUAGAUAUUCGGAGGAACACCAGUGGCGAAGGCGGCUUGCUGGGCUCUAACUGACGCUGAGGCUCGAAAGUGUGGGGAGCAAACAGGAUUAGAUACCCUGGUAGUCCACACUGUAAACGAUGAUAGGGAGGUGUGGGGGGUCUGACCCCCUCCGUGCCGG